rnacentral:lncRNA from 1 species
GCAGAAGAGGGACUGUCUUACCUUCCUCCCAAAGGUACACUAAGUUGUGUCAUAACCACAGCAUUGAAGACUGGAAAGGAUUAUCACUUUAAAAAAGUGGGGGACAUUACCCCAAUGUCAUCAUGACGGGAAGGAGGCAGAGUUGUGUCCCCCGAGACAGCAGGUCAUCCUGGCCCCACCUGCUAGAGGGGACCCAUGUGGUUUGGGUUCCUUGUAGAUGACAGAAUCCAAUGCAAAAAUCUCUUUAGAGCUGUUCAGUGCAAAGGCUCAGAGAACACUCAGGCACACUCAGGCAAGAUAAACCACAUGGACAGCCCACAGACAGACCUUUCUGAGACAGAGGGACAGCCACGAGACGCCGAAAGCGACCUGAAGUUUUAGCGCUGUUGCCCACAGACUGAGGGUCAACAUUUAGUCAAGAAGAAUCACUGUGAUUAUUGAAUUUGAAGAUCUGAUACCCUCGAAAUGAAACAUUCCACAAACUCUGCUGAAA